CACCCAUCCCUCUGCCGCCCUCACCCAUCGCGCACUCUUCGCCUCUCACCCCUCGAAUCGUCUCUCUCUGUCUCGCAGCCUUUGCUGUUCUCCGCCUGGAUGUCUCCGGCUCUCCACCAUCGGCGUCUCCAGCUCUCCAACCUUGGCGCUCUCAUCGUCUCUCUGUCUUGCAGCCUCUCCGUUUCCGGCUCUCCACCCUAGGCUUCUCCGACUCUAUGCCCUCAAUGCUUUCGUGCUCGAAGGUGCUGGUAGAAAGGCCCAGUCAACACCUGGUAGGAGAGGGUUCAGGAAUUCCAAAGUCGUUUCUCCCCUCGCUCUGAAUCUGCUCCCUACCAGAGAGCUUUCUUUUCAGAUACAUGGAGAGACCAUGAAGUUUUCUUAUGAAUGAGACAGGAUUAAAGAUAGUGGUUGCAUAUGGAGGGGCAUCAAUACUUCCAUAGGUGGAAUCAGCAAAUGUCAAUGGGCACGCUAAAAUUGGGUCAAGGAAACUGCCAGCAGAUGUCACAUUCUCAACCUGGUACAGUGGGACAGAACCAACCAACUGGAGUUGAUGUUCAAGCCCUUGCUAAGCUGACUCUUGCUCUUGAAAAAAGGUGUAUAUGGUGAUGACAACCCUUGGUAAUGCUGGGAUAUAUAUUGUUUAGUAUGCUGUUCAAACCCUUCCAAGAAGGGGUUCUAUCAGUUUUGCAUCUCCUAGUCCACUCCUUCCCAAAACAAAUGAGAAACACAAAUAAAAAGUUGUCCUGAGUACCACUACAUAAAUAUAAAAUAUGUAGGAAGUUGCAUACUGUAAAAUUCUUAUAAUUUUUCAUGAAAUAGAGCUUUAAAAUGAUAAUAAAGGGAAAUACCUCUUUGUUUCCUGAUCU